UUUUUGGUACCAAGAAUUGAGACUGUCGCUGUGACGAACUUGAGCAUGUGUUCGCGGGCCUUUGGAACUGGUUGCAGACUGUAUGCGGAUCAGCAUGAUGGGCAUGGAGAUGCAAGUGGCCUGGGCAAUGUGAUUGAUAGUCACCUGCAUCAUCAUUAGCAUCAUGACGAGAGCCACCAUUACCACCACCAGCAGCAGCAACAUUAUCAGCAUCUUCACCACCAUGACCAGAGAAGACAGAUACUGCCGCUGCCACCAACCUGGUAUUGACUCAGGAGUAUAAACACCGGAUGAGGAAUGAAAGCAGACUGCUGUUAUUAUCCCUCUCUCUCUCACCCUUUCUAUCACAAUUUGUCUCCUACACUUCCCUCCUCUACUCAAGACGCAUUGGCCAUACUGGAACCUGUGAUGAUCUUAGGAUUUAAAAAAACAUUUUCCAGUUAGCUGAAAUAGUUCUGACAUACCAGUGCUAAGUGUAUACUUUCUAUUGCUAUGAUAAAAUACCCAACCAAAGCAAGGAAAGGAAGGAACGGUUAACUUCAGCUCACAAGUC
ensembl:lincRNA Gm12718 predicted gene 12718